GAUGAAGAACGUAGCAAAAUGCGAUACUUGGUGUGAAUUGCAGAAUCCCGUGAACCAUCGAGUUUUUGAACGCAAGUUGCGCCCGAAGCCUUUUGGCCGAGGGCACGUCUGCCUGGGCGUCACGCAUCGCGUCGCCCCCCACAAUUCUCCGUAAAAGGAACAUGUGUUUUGGGGGCGGAUAUUGGUCUCCCGUGCUCAUGGCGUGGUUGGCCGAAAUAGGAGUCCUUUCGAUGGACGCACGAACUAGUGGUGGUCGUAAAACCCCUCGUCUUUUGUUUCGUGCUGUUGCUCGCAAGGUAAACUCUUUAAAAACCCCAAUGUGUCGUCUCUUGACGACGCUUCGACCGCGACCCCAGGUCAGGCGGGACUACCCGCUGAGUUUAAGCAUAUCAAUAAGCGGAGGA
rnacentral:misc_RNA from 1 species